GACGAACCGUGCGAACGUUGUUCGGAAUCACUGGGCUUAAAGGGCGCGUAGGCGGAUCAUCAAGUCCGGGGUGAAAUCUUUCGGCUUAACCGGAAAAGUGCCUUGGAUACUGGUGGUCUCGAGUGAGGUAGGGGCAUGUGGAACUUCUGGUGGAGCGGUGAAAUGCGUAGAUAUCGGAAGGAACGCCGGUGCGAAAGCGGCGCACUGGAUCCCCACUGACGCUGAGGCGCGAAAGCCAGGGGAGCAAACAGG
rnacentral:rRNA from 1 species